rnacentral:rRNA from 2 species
GAACGAUGAAACUUUACUGACUUCUUCGGAAAGAUUUAAAGCGGAUUAGUGGCGGACGGGUGAGUAACACGUGAGUAACCUGCCUUACACAAGGGGAUAGCCGUUGGAAACGACGAAUAAUACCCUAUGAAACUAUCACUUCGCAUGAAGCGAUAGUCAAAGUGUUAGCGGUGUAAGAUGGACUUGCGUCUGAUUAGCUAGUUGGUGAGAAAAAAGCCCACCAAGGCAACGAUCAGUAGCCGGCUUGAGAGAGUGUACGGCCACAUUGGGACUGAGACACGGCCCAGACUCCUACGGGAGGCAGCAGUGGGGAAUUUUGCACAAUGGGGGAAACCCUGAUGCAGCGACGCCGCGUGAUUUAGAAGGCCUUCGGGUUGUAAAAAUCUUUUGUAUAGGAAGAAAAUGACAGUACUAUACGAAUAAGGUCCGGCUAAUUACGUGCCAGCAGCCGCGGUAAUACGUAAGGACCGAGCGUUGUCCGGAAUCAUUGGGCGUAAAGGGUACGUAGGCGGGUCAUUAAGUUAGAAGCCAAAGGCUAUAGCUCAACUAUAGUAAGCUUCUAAAACUGGAGACCUUGAGUAAUGGAAGGGAAAGUGGAAUUCCUAGUGUAGCGGUGGAAUGCGCAGAUAUUAGGAGGAAUACCGGUGGCGAAGGCGACUUUCUGGCCAUUAACUGACGCUGAGGUACGAAAGCGUGGGUAGCAAACAGGAUUAG